AGUUAGAAGCAGAUCAGAAAUCGAACACGUUUGCUUUUGCGAUUCGAGAGCCCUUUCUGGCGCGGAGCUAGGGGCGGUGUUACGUAGCUGCCCUGAACUGAGAGCAGCGUUGGCCGGGGGCUAGGGAGCCGGGCUGUUCCACGCUCACUGUGCGCCUCGGGCGGCGGGGCUCGGGCUCUGUCCGAGGUGCUGAACUCCGGGGCUCCGGCCGCGCCGGCAGAGUGUGCCAGCGUCCAUUAUUGCCAGUGUCUGUGGGCAUCUUCCAGAAGGCCGAGCAUGGGGGUCAGGUGAAACCAGGGCGCUCCCAAGCACCUUGCCCAGUAGAGCCCCCUUGCACCCUGCUUGGUUGGUCAGCACCCCAUGGACAUGCAGCCUUGACCUUGGCAUGGGAAGCCUCCACUGUGUCAAGCCCAACAUCCAGGCCUCUGAAGACAGUCAUUCAGCCAUGAAUAUCAAUUAUUACAGAAAUGAAAAGGGAUCCUGCACCCAAAUUCAAAUCAAGCAAGUUCACCUAGAGGUUGCCGUGGGGUGGAGGGCCCAGAUCUGGGCUGUUUGGAUCUCUCUGCAGGAUGAAAGGGAUUUCCUGGACCUGGCUUUGCUGUCCCUUGCUCCUUUUGUAAGCAUCUGACUCUUCCUCUAUCCAUAAAGAUGAAGACAUUCUUUCGCAGGGAUUUAAUAUUGGGGCUGCAUGCCUGGCCCCUGAGAAAGCCCAAGCUUCCUCCUCCUUUUGAAUCGAACCCAGUGCAGCUUUAUGCGCUCCAGACGAGCCUGCAUUCCCCCUAAUGCCCCUGGAAUUGCUUACUCACACCAAAAUCCGCUGCCUCAGGCGUUUCCAGCCAGAGGUAAGCCUUCUUUUCAUGGGCAAUCAGGCAGUAGCCUGGAGCACAGAGGGGAAGGGGGGCACCUGCAUGCCCGGCUGGGUCUCUGUAGACAGUGGAUCAUGCGAGGCCUCCCCUCUCCUUGACCCUGUGUGAUGAGCCCUGGGAGGAGGCACCCAGGCCAGGGGAGGAGCUGCGUAGUGACAGAAAGGGCAUCUACAUCUCUACCACGUAAGUGGGGAAACUGAGGCUGGGCCUAGCACCAGAUCACUCAUGUUGAAACCUAGGUUUGAACUGGGUCUCUGAAUCCCCAUCCAGAGCUCACUGCCUUAAGGCUGAGGUGCCUGUGAGUGUCUGAGGACCCUUACUAUGAGACAGUGUUAUCGCUGACUUACAGUCUGGGUAAAGAAGGUGAAUGCAGUCAGAGGAGUAGAUUCAGGUGUCAGACAUUUGCAUAAAAUACCAAUUGCUCCUCAUGUUGGGGAGGUAAUUCACAAGCUUGAAUCUCUAAAAGGCUGCAUCUGGUGGAGGGCGGGGCUAUGUGUCUGUGCACGUCUGGUCUUUGGAGUUCUUAUUCAGCAAAUAUUGAUUGCAAGCCCACCAUGUGCCAGGCAUCAUGCCUGGGGCUUGGGAUCCAGAGAUGAAGAGACAGUCAACCAAGUCCAUCAGGCUCUGCCAACCCCUGUAGUGUGAGUGGUGGUUGGAGCACGUGUUAUACCCCCAAAAGGUGGGCUUGGCCAAGCCCUUCCACUUACCAGCCAUGUGUCCUUCUGGAUGGCAGUUUCCUCAUCUGCAAAAUGUGUGUAGCCCUAAGACCUGUCACCCAGGACCAUUUGGGAGGUCAGCUGUUGUUUUGCAGGUGAAAAGAUCCAUCUGGUCUCUGGGCCUGGCACUCUAUCUAUAAAAUGAGGCUCUACUCCAGCAUGUACCCACGGUGUGCUCUGGGUAGUAAACUGUGGUGGUUUAGCACUUUGCCUUUGGGUCUGACAGUCCUGGAUUCAAAUCCAGACUCUGCCCUCUACUGUGUAACCUGGUGCAUGUCACUUAACCUCUGUGGAACCCAGUAUUCUCAACUAUUAAAUGAGGAUGAUAAUAGUAGUAAUCAUAGUAGUACCUAGCUCAGACUGUUGGUGUAAAAAUUAAAUGAGCUAAUUAAAAUUAAAAAGUAAAGUGUUUUGCACAGAGACACUCCUAGUAAGCCCUGAAGAAAUGAGAGCUAUGCUUUUGAUUAUUAAUAUUCUUAUAAUCCAAAGGAUGAUGCAGGAUUUUUUAAAUCUUUCCACAUGUAUGUUUUUGGACCAGUCCAAAAAAGAAUUGGAAACACACUUAUGCCGCAUAAAGACAGAGUUAUGAGGAACUAUAAAAACAAAAUAAAACCUUUGGAGAAUCAACUGCAAA
ensembl:lncRNA ANKRD34C-AS1 ANKRD34C antisense RNA 1